AAAGGAGCCACUCCUAGUUGAAGACUGGACCGUGGGAAUCCGGGAGAAUCCCUCCCUCAGACCCAGAACCGAAGAUUCAGAGCAAGAACGGGGUGAGGUUCUGCGGAAAGAAUGAAAAUAGCGCUCGGUGGAGAAGACCGCAGCGUGUGGUAUCCUACACUCCUUUCCCCCCAACCACACACACACCCACACCUAAAUCUGAGAAGUGAGGCGGCGGCGUAAUAUGGAAGUGAGUGCGGUGACUCCUGCCCUAGCUGUCAAGCCCCUGAAUCCUAUAAUUAUAAUCCUCUUCUAGGGACCAGCUGGAACUGAGAGCUGUGUGACCUUGACCAAGUCACUUCCCUUCCCUGGAUCUUAAUUAUCUCAGCUGCAAGAAAAAGAAAAAAAAAAAAAGAGUCCAGGAGUAGAUCUCCCGCAGAGAAGUGGCCACAAGUGCCCCCACAGAACUUCCCACUGGAAGGGGAAGUGCUGCACUCCCAGGCCUCCAGCCCAGUGAGGAGACUCUCAGCCUGACCCGGUGGCAGAGCUCUCAAACCCACUGGUCCGACGGACCCCGCUUUACAAACAAGGAAAGAGAGUCCAAGAGCAGGCACUGGGUUUUGUGCACAGUCGCACCGGUUGCAGAGCCGGGUCUAGAAUUGAAGUAUCUGAUUGUCCCUGGCUUUAGCCCAAGAGCCAUGGUAAGGUAGGACAAGCCAGGAUGGCGGGACCCUUUGCCCUGAGGGCCGGCGCACGGGAAACUGCCCCAGCAGUGCUGGGCCGCGCUUCCCCAGGCCCCUUCCCGCCUGCUGGGCCGGAGCUGUCUCCCGCUCCCGUCUGGAUUUCCGUCCGCCGGUGCGAACCUCCCGCCCAGCCCCUCCCGCCCUGUC
rnacentral:lncRNA from 1 species